AACCUGUAAUUACACAGCCAUUGUGUUCAAGCUAAGCCAAGGAUUGACAGCAGCAGAGGCACAACCACGGUGAAGGCUGCGGGUGCAGGCACUCCGCUGGAGGGUGAGCUGGGAGCCAGCCAGGAGGAGGCAUUUGUGAGGACAGACUUGCAGCUGCUCUUCUGCUCCAUGCACUGAAGGUGACAGAGAGGAUAAGAAAGGGGAAAAAAGAAACAAAGGGUGAGAUGAGAAGUUUAAAGAUGAAAAAAGCUAAAGGCUGGAAGUCUGCAGUCAUAACACCUGUCUUCCUUCUCUCUACAGCCGCUCUACACUGACCAGUCCAACUGCUCUGAGACUCCAGGCCAUCUGCUGUAAAACACACACACACAUGCAAAUACACAGCGGACCAGAGCCAUUAAUGUAAAAUUGCUCCAUUGAGAGACACUCGGGAUAGAUAUUAUUAGCCGAUUAAUAAUUACCUAAUGAGUUUAUAAUAGGCCUGUGACUGGUACUAAAUGAAUUAGAUCUGCAUGUGAAUCUGGUCCGUUUGGGUUUUACUCUUUCAGCGUGAAUUAUUAACAGUUUAUCGUUAGCAUUAGCCCUUUAUACGGCACAUUCAUUCCACGUUACUGGGGAUUCACUUUCCAGAAAACAUCAGGGAUAUUGCCUUACACAACCACCCACCCACCCAGAUUUGUACUCGCAAGCAUGCUAAUGUACGCACACUAAUGGAUGUUUUAAGUGUCAGCACAUGACAUUUGCAAGGGCUUUCACAACACCCCAGAAGAGCAAAAAGACAGAGAGAGUCAUCCAACACUGAGCCGCCCAGCACAAGGCCGGUUAUGACAACCAUUUAGCCAGAAUUAGCUGGCAAAUUGACUAGGCUUUUACAUGUAGCUGUAUAUUACCCAAGGGGCAUUGUGAGGUUUUGAGAAGCCCUGGGCUAAAACUGACCAUGGGCUGCACCGUGGAUAUCAUGCCAGCCUAAAAGUGUU
ensembl:lncRNA